rnacentral:rRNA from 1 species
CGGCGAGUGAAGCGGGAAGAGCUCAAAUUUGAAAUCUGGCGGCCUUUGGUCGUCCGAGUUGUAGUCUGGAGAAGCGUCUUCCGCGCCGGACCGUGUACAAGUCCCUUGGAACGGGGCGUCAUAGAGGGUGAGAAUCCCGUCUUUGACACGGACCGCCGGUGCUUUGUGAUGCGCUCUCAAAGAGUCGAGUUGUUUGGGAAUGCAGCUCAAAACGGGUGGUAAAUUCCAUCUAAAGCUAAAUAUUGGCGAAAGACCGAUAGCGAACAAGUACCGUGAGGGAAAGAUGAAAAGCACUUUGGAAAGAGAGUUAAACAGUACGUGAAAUUGUUGAAAGGGAAACGCUUGAAGUCAGUCGCGUCUCUUGGGACUCAGCCUUGCUUUUGCCUGGCGUACUUCCUGAGGUGACGGGCCAGCAUCGAUUUUGACCGUCGGAGAAAGGCCUUGGGAAUGUGGCACCUCCGGGUGUGUUAUAGCCCUGGGUCGCAUGCGACGGUUGGGAUCGAGGACCGCAGCACGCCUUUUUGGCCGGGGUUCGCCCACGUAACGUGCUUAGGAUGCUGGCGUAAUGGCUUUAAGCGACCCGUCUUGAAACACGGACCAAGGAGUCUAACAUGCCCGCGAGUGUUUGGGUGGAAAACCCGGACGCGUAAUGAAAGUGAAAUGUUGGGACCUCUGUCGCGGAGGGCACCGACGCCCGGACCAGACCUUCUGUGACGGCUCCGAGGUAGAGCGUGCAUGCUGGGACCCGAAAGAUGGUGAACUAUGCCUGAGUAGGGUGAAGCCAGAGGAAACUCUGGUGGAGGCUCGUAGCGAUUCUGACGUGCAAAUCGAUCGUCGAACUUGGGUAUAGGGGCGAAAGACUAAUCGA